GCGGUCCCCCUUCUGGAUUCCUGGCCGCAGGUUGGGGCCGUUUCAUUCCCUCUGCGGAACAGCAGCUCAGUACAGCGAAGAAACGGACCAGGGCCACAGCUCCCUUCUCUGCGGCUCUUCCGGGUUCGACUCCGCUUCUCCAAACAACUCGCACCUGUGGCAGCUGUGUAUUAUCCACUCAACUUUCUGAGGCUGGCUUCCUGAUCAGCAGUGCUAGAUCUGCAGUUCUGUCUGUCUCUGUCUCUCAUUGAGCCCAGGACUUGCCAACUCCAGGCCAGUCCUCUGCCACCCACUGCCACGGCAUCCUCCUUUUGCUGUUUAACACGGCUUUUGUCUCUGGCCGCGUGUCCCUUCCUUCUUUGGACAAAUGCUGAACGUGCCAGACCCUGUCCUCUGUGUGCCUUGCACAGUGUUGAUGACAGACAGUGCCAGAACCCGCUGGGCUUUCCCACUGCGUGGACGAACCUACUCGCUUGACCUCAGGGCCAGCCAUGAAUCUCUACAUGGCCUCGACUAGCCUUGAACUUGAGACCCUCCUGCUUCAGCCUCCCCAGGGCUGGGAUUGUAGGCCUGCAUGACCAUGCCCUGAUACAGUAAUUUAUUUCUUCUUACUGUUGAGUAGCACUUGUUAUAUAAGUACACCACAUCAUCUUUUAAAUGUUUUUUUACUAUGCUACAUCUUAUCUAUUCAUGUGUUGACAGGCAUGUUUCCAGAUAACUAUUAUGAAUAGAGUUGCUAUAAACAUUCCUAUAUUACAAUCAUUAUGUACUGCAAAAAAAUUAAAAUUGAAAAAAUUCUUGUACUGUACAAGACUUUUUGUGAGCAGGCGGUUUCAUUUCUCUCAGAUAAAUGCCUAGGAAUCAAUACCAGGUCAUAUGAUAAAAGCAUGUUUACAUUUUUAAGAAACUAUUUUCCCAGCCCAGACCACUUGACAGAUCUACUGAGUGUGUAUGAGGUUCCAUUUUUACCACACCCCAGCUGACACUUGCUUUUUUGUUGUCGUUGUUUUAAAGGAAUUUUAUCGGUUCCCUCUAGAUAAACAUAAUGAUCACAUUCAUCAUGGGGGAUUCUCCUGAGCAUGGUCUGGACGUGAGAUGGCGUGAAGGGCGCACUUUCUGGAGGGCAAGGGUGCUGCUGUUUCUCCUUCCGUGUUAGUGGCACGUGUGAGUGUGGCCUGGCACACGUCAGUGGCUGGUGUUGGUGAGUAGUACUCCAUUUACGAGCAUGGCACCAUCUGCCCACUGUGCCCCACUAUUACAGCUUUUAAAAUAAGCUUCAUUGAGAUAUAAUUUGUACGCCAUGCAAUUCACCUGUAUAAAUCGCACUUGCAGUGGCUGUAGUUUUUGCACAGGGAUAUGCAGCUACCAGCGAUCAACUUUAGGGGUUUUCAUUACUCCCGAAAGUGGGCCUCACCAUUUCCUGUGGUCACACUCCAAGCCCUGGAAACCACUCAUCUAUUUUCUGUCUGUGGCUUUGCCCAUUUCAGCCAUUUCAUAUGAAUGGAGUCAUACGGCCAGGCGUGGUGGUGCCUUCCUGCAAUCCCAACACUCAGGAA